GCGGGUGUAGCUCAGUUGGUAGAGCACCAGCCUUCCAAGCUGGGGGUCGUGAGUUCGAGCCUCAUCGCCCGCUCCA
rnacentral:tRNA from 2 species